AAUAAAUGUAAUUAAAAUAAAAAGAGAUUAAAUGGUAGAUCAUUAAAUUUAAAAAAUUUGGCGGUACUUAUAAUUUAGAGGAAUCUGUAUAGUAAUCGAUAAUCCACGAUAAGAAAUACUUAUUAAAAGUUUAUGUAUUGCUGUUUUAAAUAUUUAAUUGAGUUAAAUAUAAUAAAAUUUAUUAAGUUUAAUAAAAUAAUUCAAGUCAAAAUAUAGCUUUUUUAAGAUUUAAUAUGGAUUACAAUUAAUUUAAUUAUUAUUUGGAUUAUAAAAUUUAAUUUUUAUAUGAAAGUGGAUUUAAAAGUAAAUUUAAUUAAUUUAUUAAAUUGAAUUAUUAAUGUAAGUAUGU
rnacentral:rRNA from 2 species